rnacentral:lncRNA from 10 species
AUUAUAAGGCAGUUCAUAGAUGCUGCUGCUGCUGCUGCUAGCAUUUCAUCUGCUGAGAAUCACACUCAGUAGCAACAGCCGUCCAAGAUACAGCCCUGCGGGGCUUUGAGUGUUAACGUUGGGUGCAUAGUGAUGAGGCUUUUUUAAAGCCUUGAAACGGGGCCAACUGGUAAUACCUAAGGAACCUCUUCUACCAGAGGCAAGCAUUUUCACCAGCCAUUUUGAAUUUGAUGUGCUCAGCACUUUGAGGUAGCUGGCUCCUGGGCGUAAGUCAGAUUCUGACUCACUGGCUGGAUCACCAUCCUCAGGACCCCUUGCAGGGUAGACCUUGCUCAGUUGUUCCUCGAUUUUCUUCUGUGUAUUUGAAAGAAAUACAUGCUCUUGUGAUGUGCAAUGCUUCAUAG